GCUCCUAUAGCUCAGUUGGCAGAGCGUACGUCUCAUAAUCCGAACCAUCAGCAAGCGUAAGGCCGGCAGUUCGAUCCUGUCUGGGAGCA
rnacentral:tRNA from 1 species